rnacentral:rRNA from 1 species
AGCUAACGCGUUAAAUCGACCGCCUGGGGAGUACGGCCGCAAGGUUAAAACUCAAAUGAAUUGACGGGGGCCCGCACAAGCGGUGGAGCAUGUGGUUUAAUUCGAUGCAACGCGAAGAACCUUACCUACUCUUGACAUCCAGAGAACUUUCCAGAGAUGGUUUGGUGCCUUCGGGAACUCUGAGACAGGUGCUGCAUGGCUGUCGUCAGCUCGUGUUGUGAAAUGUUGGGUUAAGUCCCGCAACGAGCGCAACCCUUAUCCUUUGUUGCCAGCGGUUCGGCCGGGAACUCAAAGGAGACUGCCAGUGAUAAACUGGAGGAAGGUGGGGAUGACGUCAAGUCAUCAUGGCCCUUACGAGUAGGGCUACACACGUGCUACAAUGGCGUAUACAAAGAGAAGCGACCUCGCGAGAGCAAGCGGACCUCAUAAAGUACGUCGUAGUCCGGAUUGGAGUCUGCAACUCGACUCCAUGAAGUCGGAAUCGCUAGUAAUCGUAGAUCAGAAUGCUACGGUGAAUACGUUCCCGGGCCUUGUACACACCGCCCGUCACACCAUGGGAGUGGGUUGCAAAAGAAGUAGGUAGCUUAACCUUCGGGAGGGCGCUUACCACUUUGUGAUUCAUGACUGGGGUGAAGUCGUA